rnacentral:rRNA from 1 species
GGUCUGGUAAUUGGAAUGAGUACAAUCCAAACACCUUAACGAGGAUCCAUUGGAGGGCAAGUCUGGUGCCAGCAGCCGCGGUAACACCAGCUCCAAUAGCGUAUAUUAAAGUUGUUGCAGUUAAAAAGCUCGUAGUUGGAUUUCUGGUCUGGAUUGCCUGGUCCGUCCCAAACGGGAUGUUGACCGGUUGUGGUCCAGCCAUUCUUCGUGGAGAACUUAAUGGCUCUUGAUUGAGUUUCAUUAAGGGAUCCCGAUCAUUUACUUUGAGAAAAUUAGAGUGUUCAAAGCAGGCUUAUGCCUUGAAUACAUUAGCAUGGAAUAAUAAGAUAAGACUUUGGUCUUGUUUUGUUGGUUUCUAAGACUGAAGUAAUGAUUGAUAGGGAUAGUUGGGGGUGCUCGUAUUCAACGGCCAGAGGUGAAAUUCAGUGAUUCGUUGAAGACGAACUUAUGCGAAAGCAUUCACCAAGGAUGUCUUCUUUAAUCAAGAACGAAAGUUGCGGGAGCGAAGACGAUCAGAUACCGUCGUAGUCUCAACCAUAAACGAUGCCGACUAGGGAUUGGUGGAUGUUAGUUUUUGACUCCAUCAGCACCUUCCGAGAAAUCAAAGUCUUUGGGUUCCGGGGGGAGUAUGGUCGCAAGGCUGAAACUUAAAGGAAUUGACGGAAGGGCACCACAAGGAGUGGAGCCUGCGGCUUAAUUUGACCCAACACGGGAAAACUUACCAGGUCCAGACAUAGUAAGGAUUGACAGUUAGCAGCUCUUUCUUGAUUCUAUGGGUGGUGGUGCAUGGCCGUUCUUAGUUGGUGGAGUGAUCUGUCUGGUUGAUUCCGUUAACGAACGAGACCUCAGCCUACUAAAUAGUUGAGCCAAUGUUGCAUUGGCGAUCAACUUCUUAGAGGGACUUUGAGUGUCGAGCCCAAGGAGGUUUGAGGCAAUAACAGGUCUGUGAUGCCCUUAGAUGUUCUGGGCUGCACGCGCGCUACACUGGUGCAUUCAACGAGUUUACAACCUUGAUCGAAAGAUCUGGGUAAUCUUUGAAAAUGCACCGUGCUUGAGCUAGAUUAUUGCAAUUAUUAAUCUUAAACGAGGAAUUCCUAGUAAGCGCGAGUCAUCAGCUCGCACUGAUUACGUCCCUGCCCUUUGUACACACCGCCCGUCGCUCCUACCGAUUGAAUGAUCCGGUGAAAUCAACGGACUGCGGCGAAUAUGCAUUCGUGCAUUGUUCUGCUGUCAGGAAGUGGAUUAAACCUUAUCAUUU